rnacentral:lncRNA from 1 species
UGUUUCAUUUUUAAUUGCAGUGGGGGGCACUGUGGUCUUUGGAGUCCUCGGGGUCCCCAGCCCAUUGCGCCCGGCGACAGCCCCGUGUCCUUCCCUGCAUCCACCCAGAGCUGUCUCGGGAGCCCGCGGCCCACCCGCCCUUGCGGCUGUGACGUCUCUCUGGGGCUUCGAAUCCCGGGCGGGAGGCGACGGCAAACAGACAAAAUAGUGACUCGGUCGUUAAGAGACGAGACAAAGAGGCGGGUCAGUGGCGGGGAUCCGGGAAGCCUUCCUCGGACUGGGUGGUCCCGAAGUCUUCGCAGUGGGGUCCUCAGGGAAGCGGGUGGCUCUGCAAGGCCCCGGGAGGGAGCGGCGUCCCAGGACCGGAAGGGGCCGCAGGGCCGAGGGAGGAGGGCAAGGGCGGGCAGGGGCGCGGGGACCCAGGGCUUCCGCCCGGGAGGGGUCGCCACGGCGGCUGUGGGUCCACCCAGUAGGUGGUGUCGACGGCUAGCCCCGCCCCAACACCUGUUCCCGGGUCCCAGCUCACGGCCGCUGUCCAGACUCCUUCUCUCCCUUCCCUGGCCAACCCUAGUCUGGCCCUGGUCCAGUGCCACGCAAAGUCCCGCGCCUCCCCCUCCGGGAAGCCCUCCGGAAUCUUGGCGCCAAACCGAUCCCUCCGCGGAUCUGGGGCGGCGGGCGGCUCAGGUCCUUGGGCUACACACGUGCGUCUACGCCGGGUGCGCGCCUCCAGGCAGGCGGCCAUUCACGGAGGUGGGGCAGCCCACUCUCCACUCGGGCCGGGAGGAAGAAACCGAGUGGAGGAGGAGGGCGUUGGAAAGCCUCAGGGGUCUGGCGGGAAUCCUCGGAGCGGACCCUGCCAGCUCGGAAAGCCCUGGGAACGCUGGUUGGCCCGGUGCCGGGGCGGCUAGGACCAGUCCUGCCGACCAGGAGGCCACCGGGGUCACAGAGCCUCCACCCACGCGAGCGGGCUGCGCGGGGGACAGACAGCCCGCGAGCGCCCCCGGCGGCCACCGGCGCCUCCUGCUGCUGGAGUCGUCGGGGAGCUGCCCGCCUGAGCUGGGGCCCGUCUGCGUGGGCCCCGGCCGCCCCCAGCCACCCGCGGGGACCAGACCCGCAGGGCUUCAGGCCGGAAGGAGAGGCCGAGGAGCCGGUUCUUCGCCGUUCUUUCUCUCGUAG